ensembl:lncRNA
AUCCACUGGGAGAGAAUUCUUUGCAGGUUUCCGUCUUUGUUAUUCAGGAACAGCUGUAAAAUAUUUACGGAAGGAACGGAAAAGAAGGAAAGCAAUGAGAAAGUGAGCUGGAAACGCGUGUUCUGAUUCACGGGCUGGGAGAAGAUCAUUACUGGAAGACAAGACUACUGCGUAACACAGGAAGGAAGGGCAAAGGCCACGAGAAAGACAGUGGAACGGGAAGAUCGGAAACAAUCGCGGAGAGGCACAACACGGAGGGCUACGAAUGGACAGCAGGAAAGCAGAGUCUGAGCUCCUGCAGGCCGGCUGAGAGGGCAGAGCGCAGCCUUGCUGAGGAGGCGGCGCCCCAGGCGUGGGGGGAGGGGGCGGGCGGGAUCAGCCCUGGGAGGCGGGAGGCGUCCGGGACCAGUGGCGCACCUCGCCUGCACCUCGGGGUUUUCGGCUAGGACAGCCCGAUGGUGUGGAGAAAAACAGUGCUGGAGAUUCACGGAGAGUCGUGACAAACCGAAUUGCUCACUCCCCAUUCUAUUAUUUCCUUUAUUACAGGAGGUGGGAAGAGCAGCAACAAAAGGGCAAAAAUGGGAAAUUUCAAGGCACAGUGGGGCUGGGAGUGAGUGAAUGUGGUCAUUAAUGCAAGGCUCGUGUUGGCGAGGGAUGGCAGAGAAGACUGGAAAGCUAGGGCAGAGUCAGCCUGCGCCAGUGCUCAGAGGUUAAGGCGGCGAGAGCUGGGCUCCAGCAAGGAGAACGGAAGGGUUUUCAGCAGCAAAGUAAAAUCGUGAGCCUAGUCCUAGUGUUUUAGGGGGGAUCAGUUUACCAACUUGGUAAGAGUCGCUGGGAAGGGAGAUAAGUGGCAAGAAAGCAAGCUAGCCCAUGUGAUGGUGCACACCUGAAAUCCCAGCAUUUGGGAGGCUGAGGCAGGAGAAUCGCUGUGAGUUCGCGGUCAUCCUAGGCUACAUAGUGAGACUCUGUCUCAAAAAAAGCAACAGCCGGGGAUUUAGCUCAGUGGUGCCGCCAUCUGCCUUGAAAGUGCAAGGUCCUGAGUUUGAUACCCGUACCAAAAAAACCCCCCAAAACAAAAAAAAGUAACUCAAAAAAAUAACAACAGGGCUGGGAUGUAGCUCAGAGGUGUUGCACCUGCCUGGCAAGCGUAAAGUCCUGAGUUCAAUUCCUGUACCGAAAAAACAAAAAACAACAAAGUUAGAAAACUAAGCUGCAUAGCACACAGCAAAGGCCUUAAAACAAAACAAAACAAACCUUGCAAGUAUUACCAUGGAACUGCUGCCUGCAAUUUGAGAACUCUUAAAGAAUAGAUAAACCCUGGAAGAUUUAGACAAGUGAUAUUAAAAGCUGUCAUGAAGUGAGCAACUUUCUUCUGCCACACCCUCCCACCUUGAUGUUUCUGCCUCACACAGAUCUAAAGAGAUGGAACUAGCCAACCAUGGACUGACACCUAUGAAACCAUGAACCACAUAAGCUUUUCUUCCUUUAAGCAGAUUGUCAUGGUUAUUUUGUCUCAGUGACAAAAAGCUGGUCAACACACCUAAUUCCAUCAAAAGUUAUAGGUCAAAGAGGAAGGGCAUCACAUCGGCACUUUCUGAAAGCUGUCUCGAAACAGAGAUUGUGACGGAUUGUAUUCUUCCAGCCUUCUUGGAGCUGUCCCGAAGAAAGGGGAGUGCUGUGAAUCUGCUCGGGUCAUGAGCAGGUGCGACUUGGUGAAGGAGAGAAAGCACUUGUUCCCCAUGUCCCAGGCCAGGAGCCCGGGGACCUCGCCAUGGAGGCUGGCCCAGAAGUCAGAGUCACGGAGCUUUGUGGGCCACCGUGGGCGAAGGAGUGGAGCGCAGGUGGGGAGCUCGGCCCCACGCCCACGCCGCUUCUGGAAGUAGUCGGCGGUCCAGGUGCAGGGGGCCAAGCAAGCGGCGCAGAUGCCCGAGCUCGCCACUGCCCCGAGGGCUUCCUCUGUGCCCUGGUCCUCGGAACUCAAAGUUUGAGGAUCCAGGAGGACGACAAUAUGUAUCUCACACCUUUCUCCCUAUGGCGCACAAACCUCUCAGAAGGAUCCUGCAGCAGGGCUAAUAGCGGCUUCCUGAAAGUUCUAAUAGGUUUUAUGGUUUAUCUAAGAUCGCAUCUAUAGUAGGCUGUGGAGCUAGCCUAAGAGUCUAGUUUUUAAGUGUUCUGACCAUGAAUAAAUUAUAAAUAUGUGAGCUAAAACAUUUGUUAGAUUUAGCCAUUGCACAACACGUCUGGCCUGGAUUUUGCAGUGAUCCUUUAGCGUCAGCUUCCUAAGUGCUGAGAUAACAGGUGUGUGCCACCAUGCCUGGUUUUGUUUAUGUAUUUUUUACACUUGAUCUUAGCCAAAAGGCCUAGAAGCGAUUGUUGUUUAUGUAUUUUAAAACAUCGUGUUUUUACCAUAAAUACUUUGGGUUUCUCAUAUAAGAGAAACAUAUUUAAGCAUUUGUGUCUGAUUUAUUUUACUUAACAUUAUGGUCUGUAGGUAUAUCCAUUUUCCUACAAAUGACUCAAAUUUAUCCUUCUUUAUAGCAGAGUAGUACUCCUUAGUAUGUAAAUACCACAUUUUCUUUUAAAUGUUAAUGGACAUAUAAGAUGCUUCAAAUAUUCAGCUAUUAUGAAUUGUGUGUGUAUAUAUAUGUAAUUUUUUGCAAUUAAAAUAAACAAGUAAAGAAAUAAAGGACAUUGAGAAGUUGAAAGUAAAUGGAGCCAGGUGUGGUAGUGCAUAUCUAUAAUCCCAGCACUUGGGAGGCUGAGGCAGGAG